GGCUGAGCUGAGGAAGGGUGGUAGCAGGUGCAUGCCUAAAUUAGAGGAAGGAUAUUUAUUUACCCGAAGAGUAAAGGCCUGAGUAAGAUCUUAGCUUAGAAGACUUGGGAAAAGUUUUCUGAGAAGAAACAAUGGUCACUAGAAACCCAUCGGAUUUGCCAGGUUUCACUAUCCUAUCACCCUCCUCUGGACACUCUUAUGAAAACCCUUCUUAAAAUGACCAGUAGGAUGAUUUCAGAAAGGCCUGGAGAGAUUUACAUGAACUGAUGCUGAGUGAAAUGAGCAGG